rnacentral:rRNA from 1 species
GACGAACGCUGGCGGCGUGCUUAACACAUGCAAGUCGAACGAUGAUGCCCAGCUUGCUGGGUGGAUUAGUGGCGAACGGGUGAGUAACACGUGAGUAACCUGCCCCUGACUCUGGGAUAAGCGUUGGAAACGACGUCUAAUACUGGAUAUGAUCGCCGGCCGCAUGGUCUGGUGGUGGAAAGAUUUUUUGGUUGGGGAUGGACUCGCGGCCUAUCAGCUUGUUGGUGGGGUAAUGGCUCACCAAGGCGACGACGGGUAGCCGGCCUGAGAGGGUGACCGGCCACACUGGGACUGAGACACGGCCCAGACUCCUACGGGAGGCGGCAGUGGGGAAUAUUGCACAAUGGGCGAAAGCCUGAUGCAGCGACGCCGCGUGAGGGAUGACGGCCUUCGGGUUGUAAACCUCUUUUAGUAGGGAAGAAGCGAAAGUGACGGUACCUGCAGAAAAAGCACCGGCUAACUACGUGCCAGCCGCCGCCGUAA